rnacentral:lncRNA from 1 species
CCUCCACUCGUCGCCAUUUCCUCUCCUCUCUACCCUCUGCUCCACUUCUGCUAUUUCCUUUAGAUAAGAAGCCGAAUCAUCCCACAGGAAGAGCAAGAUGUCAUGCUGUCUCCUGUAGCUCCCCAGCGCUCAGGAGCCUUGUGGCAUUACAUUGCGACCCUUCAGGAAUAGUCUUUGCUUCUCCAACGAUAUCUGCUCCAGAUCUUUAUGGAGGCCAUGGAGUAUGCUAAAGGAAGAAGGGUUGGAGAGAGAAAACAGACUUAAAAGCAGGCUGAGAGUUCAGGGAUCUUUAUGGAAGAGGAGAUAAAGAUCAAAAGAUCCAGAGGUAUCAGAUAUCUGCAGGAAACAUCGGUUGAAAAGCAUGUGUGUUUUGGUGCACACAUGAACUUACGGUUUCUGUGCCUGCAUGCACAAGAUCUACACAAGAUCAAGGAAGCCAAGCAGCUUGCCGGGCUUGUAGCUUCUGCUGAGCAUCUAUCUGGCUACCCCCUCCACAUUCUGCAUAAGCUCUCCCAUCCUCCCAUGCUUCUCCAGCCUCACGGUGACUCUAUGCGCGCAAGCCUUCCUUACUUUCGCCAUUGCUUAUGCAUCUUUAGAUUCAUCUCCAGUCUUAAGCGGCUGAUGGACCAUGCUGCCAGUUACCUUUACAAAACAUCAUGUGCGUGUUUGCACGCAUUAUGGAAGCUGGAGACUACUACCCCUUUGGGACCCUCAAGAGGUCAUUCUCUCAUUCCUGACCUGCUUCAAGAGAAGUCCCCAUCACUUUCUGGAUUGAAAGGCGACAUGAAAUGACAAGGCAAUAUGCCAACCAAGUGCAGGGACCAAGAAGACCAGCCAACCUCCUCAACUUCCAGCUGAUGCAGAUCCACAUAGAGAUCCAGCCAAGCUCAGUUAAAUCUGUGCUAGAGCAGAAGGGCUACCCAGGUGCACAGUUGACUUGUGGCCAAAAUAAAUGUUUAUUAUUGUAACUCGGAGGACCUAAGGUUGAUUCUGAGAAUCCACAUCUAAUAUAGCAAAGCAUGGUAGAAUACUUUUCUAUUCCUGCCCAGAGAGAGGAGCAGAACGAUCCCUGGACUUGUAUGC